CUCAGGUAUGUCUUUAUCAGCAGCAUGAAAAUGGACUAAUACAGAAAGAAAGGAAAGAAAGAAAAGAAGAGAAAGAAAGAAGAAAGAAAAGAGAAAAUUAAAUUGUGUUUAUAAAGUCAUCAGUAGACAAUGUUUACAUCUGGAGAAAAGGGGAAAGAAGCAGACUUCUCCAGUGGGGCACUCAGUCUGGUGCCAGAAAGCAUAUCAAAUCAGAGCACAGACCUGGCUGAACAUGGGGCUACUUCCCAAGGUGUCAAUUUUCUUUGAAGAUUUUCAGGGUGGAUCUACUUCAAGAAAAGAGACCGUGAAUAAACCGACCCCAAAUCCUCUCUCCAGGGAAGUUUCAUUGUCCUGAAGGAGACAUGAAAGAGGAGGCAUAUCACUCAUAACUGUAUAGAAAAACAUUAUCACAAACUUCCUUAUCUCCUGUUUGUUCUCCUCAAAACCCAUUUAUCUUUUUUUUUUUUUUUUUGAGACAGGGUCUUGCUCUGUUGCCCAGGCUGAGUGCAGUGGCGUGAUCACAGCUCACUGCAGCCUCAACCUCCCAGGCUCAAGCAAUUCUCCCACCUCAGCCUCCCAAGUAGCUGGGACCACAGAAACGUGCCGCCAUGCCUGGCUAAUUUUUGUAUUUUUUGUAAAGAUGGGAUUUCACUGUCUUACCCAGGCUGGUCUUGAACUCCUGGGCUCAAACGAUCCUCCCAUCUCAGCCUUCCAAAAUGCUGGGAUUACAGGAGUGAGCCACCACACCCAGCCCCAUUUACCUCUCUGAAAAGUCGUUGUUUUCACAUAAGUGCCUUUCUUUUCCUACUCAUUCCCUUCUAAGGUGGUAUGUAAGCCUGUCUAUCCACUCCUUUGAGUUAGUCACUCACCGAAAUCAGAGUUACGUACUGACUUCUGUGUGUAUAUGAAUUACAUGCAUAAAUAAACUCUCACGUUUUCCUCUUUUUAAUCUGUCUUUGUCAGUUUAAUUCACAGGCCUCAGGCAUGGAACAUGAAAGAAUAGAGGAAAAAGUUUUCCUCUGCUACCAGAGCCAUUUGUUAUUACAGCAAACUGAUACAAAAACUGGUGGGCCUGAAUUUCCGCUUAUGCUUGCUGAGAGAAAUUUAUGUUCUGAAAUGGCCUUGGUCAGAUGUUCCUCCAGCUUAUAAAUUAAAUAUGGGUAAUGUUCUUUCCUUUCUGGUGAAGAACAAAUAGGAUGAACAAACUGUGUCUGUUGUGUUGGUAUUAAGUCACAGUAAUACAUCUUCUUUUUCAGAAGAUAAGUUAUACAUACUGCAG
rnacentral:lncRNA from 10 species